rnacentral:snRNA from 1 species
CAUCUUGCUCUGACAAUAUAUUUAUGUAAAACUGAAAUGAUACAGAGAUAAUUAGCAUGACCCCUGCACAA